rnacentral:rRNA from 1 species
UGGCUUCAUUCCGCUCGUUAUUAGUCACAGCGCGCGCGCUUAUGGUUUUAGCCGCCUUGGAGGGAGGGGUUAGGGGUAAGGGGUGGAGGAUCCGGGCCAGGGGUGUGCGCCGCGCCGCGCCGCCGGUACCUCCAGCUGCUGGGCCGCGGCGCGCCGCCCCGGGGCGGGGCGUAGGCCGCCGACCUCCUCAGCCACCACUUGGCGUAGCGGCGCCCCCUCCACUAGGUCGCGGGCAGCAGCCGCCACUUCCUCGAGCAGCUCUUGUCGUAGCUGCGGCCCCGGAGGUGGCAGAGGCAGUGGCAGUUCCUGCCGCCGGAGUUCGAGUAGGUCCAGAGGCUGCUGCCGGUGCCGUAGGCCACACUCCUGAACGGCUAUAACACACUCUCUGUAUGAUGGAGUUUCAACAGACGUAUACUCCUAGAUGUCUGUUAUUUUAGGUACCCCAAGUCUCCCCUCCGAAACCGGUCAUACUGAAUACAACCGGUACAAUGCCACUGUUGUUAUUGUCUUCCGGUCGACGUACCGAUGUCUCAAAGAAUAUCCCUACCUCAUUACCUCUUACUGGGCUUCGGGACACGACGCCAAUUUCCUUGAGUUCAGUACCAACUUUUAAAUAAGAUGUUAUACCAUCGAGCAUCCUUUUGUGACGUCUUGAGGUUACUGCUGAUAGGUUUCUAUCACCUGAAGUAGUCAGCCAAACGUCAGGUAGUGUAGUUACACUUGAAGAGAACGUCUUUCGUACCUCGGUUAUCUCGUCUACAAGUGUCACCCUCGUGCAGAAGUUCCGAUCUACGAUAAUCCUUACAGAUACCCCGAAGUCAACAAGCACUAGACUACCUUUAUGUCCAAAGUCUACUCUUACGACAUCUACUUUAUAAGUUCUACCUACCAAAGUAGAGUUUACGUUUAAUACACCGUUUUUUCUGAUGAUACUAAGAAAAGUAUUUACUAUCUGAACAUCUGACGUGAAGAAACUUUUCUCGAUGACUUAAGCACAUGAGACGUUAUGACGGAGUUCGUAGGUUUGGGAAGUAUAUGUACAGGUAGUUAGAAGGCGGUCUUGUGCACCUACAGUUAUAUGUAGGUUGGUUUUUCCUCCAAUCGGAGAAUUUAGUUCUCGCAUAAUAACUUUUUUAAUUUCUACGGUAGCUCCUUUUUGACUACUUGACAUUAUUGUGUUCCUAUAAGGUUUGAGUCCGUGAUUUGAGAAGUCGUGAAUGAGUUCGAUUGUGUGCUUUCCUGUUCCCAUGACUUCAGUCGUGCGGAUGACCUCUUUUUAGAGUUUUCUAAGGACACUCGGUUUACCAGUCUUGUCUAGGUGCGCUAGGUAGACCUUCCAACGUGUGGAUAACCGUUCCAGUUUGAAGUUUAGAACUUUUCUUUAGACCGGAACAACGGCAUUCUUUAUAACAUUCUAGUUCUUCUUUAGGUUUUCUACGACCACUAAACAGGUCAGCGGUACUCGAACAAUGUCUUUAUCUAAUAUUGAAUGUAGGACCGGAAAAGCUAUAACAAUUCUUAACGUGUAUACAACCUCAACGGCUACUUCAAAAGCGAAACUAUGUUGUGUUAUGGGAGAAUAUGGAACAGUUACACCAUUUACAAUCGUUUCUUGAGUACAUGGUUGUUCGGAACACGGCAAAACCCUUGAAGUUACGAUAUGUCGAGUCACUUGGUCGAGGCGAAGACCUCAACGACUGUUACCGUGACUUUCUACUGCUCAGUUACUCACUACAUUUACUCUUCCUCUUUGAUCUUUAACGUCUUCACUUGUGACUCUAUGACUUUCUUUUACGACUCUACUAAUUACUCAUGAAGAGAUAAGUGUAACUAGUUCCACCGUUGGAAUGGUCUGAAGGACAACAUGAACUAGUCAUGUGGGGACUAUACCUAGCGGAAGGUCUCAAGUACAACUGAGAUCCUUUACUAUAACGGACCCUGCAACUCUUUCUCACGAAGUCUUGCCGUCGUCGACGAUAACCUUUGAAGAUACGCGAAGUAGGAGGGUAGGAAGGUUUAGGUAGACCGUUUCCGUAAGCUAAUAUGUUCUUUUUAUUUCUAAGGUACCUUUCGCGACCUGUCCGACUAUUGCUAAAUUGUUCAUGUCUACUUCUACUGUAGCUGGUUCUCGACGAACGCCUUCGUCUCCGCCGUACCCGAGUUGCGCUCACCUGGUAGGUCGUGCAGAACAAGGGCAGGUACGCUGAAAAGGAGUUCGGGGGAUUCAGCUACCGUUGUCUGCCUUGUAAGCAGGUCUAACGAAGAGAUCUGUUCGAAAUGUUCUAGAAGCUCUCUACGAUCGGCUGUGUUUCCGUCGGCCAGCGUGCUAUACAUCUCUUCCUUCCCUCUCGCGCUGGCUGGCUGCGGAAACGAACAAGGGAGACCCUGCCUGAACGCAUGUAUUGCUUAGACAGGCCCCUCCCUCUAACUCACCUUUCUGUUUAUGCCCGGUUGUUGACAUAACCCGACGGCAGUAUGGUUUGUGUGACUUGGGUAGGCACGACUACGGCUGAGCUCCUACGGAGCUUAGACGGCGAAACAGUCGUACAUUAAGUAGUUUGAAAAAGGUACGUUGUGGUAGGCUACACACAUGCUAGUAGUCUAUGGGUAGACGUAGAUCAAGCCAAGAAAACGGGCAAAACACGGUACAGUAGACAGACCUGCAGAGAAGCUGGUACUUUUCUGCAACUUCAGAACCAUGCUAACCGUAUAUGGCUUCUUGUGAUUACCCCUAAAACCAGACACA